AGUGAACGCUGGCGGUAGGCCUAACACAUGCAAGUCGAACGGCAGCACAGUAAGAGCUUGCUCUUACGGGUGGCGAGUGGCGGACGGGUGAGGAAUACAUCGGAAUCUACUUUUUCGUGGGGGAUAACGUAGGGAAACUUACGCUAAUACCGCAUACGACCUACGGGUGAAAGCAGGGGAUCUUCGGACCUUGCGCGAUUGAAUGAGCCGAUGUCGGAUUAGCUAGUUGGCGGGGUAAAGGCCCACCAAGGCGACGAUCCGUAGCUGGUCUGAGAGGAUGAUCAGCGACACUGGAACUGAGACACGGUCCAGACUCCUACGGGAGGCAGCAGUGGGGAAGAUUGGACAAUGGGCGCAAGCCUGAUCCAGCCAUACCGCGUAGGUGAAGAAGGCCUUCGGGUUGUAAAGCCCUUUUGUUGUGAAAGAAAAGCAGCAGGUUAAUACCCCGCUGUUCUGACGGUACCCAAAGAAUAAGCACCGGCUAACUUCGUG
rnacentral:rRNA from 1 species